CAGUGGGGAAUAUUGCACAAUGGGGGAAACCCUGAUGCAGCGACGCCGCGUGGAGGAAGAAGGUUUUCGGAUUGUAAACUCCUGUUGUUGAGGAAGAUAAUGACGGUACUCAACAAGGAAGUGACGGCUAACUACGUGCCAGCAGCCGCGGUAAAACGUAGGUCACAAGCGUUGUCCGGAAUUACUGGGUGUAAAGGGAGCGCAGGCGGGAAGACAAGUUGGAAGUGAAAUCUAUGGGCUCAACCCAUAAACUGCUUUCAAAACUGUUUUUCUUGAGUAGUGCAGAGGUAGGCGGAAUUCCCGGUGUAGCGGUGGAAUGCGUAGAUAUCGGGAGGAACACCAGUGGCGAAGGCGGCCUACUGGGCACCAACUGACGCUGAGGCUCGAAAGUGUGGGUAGCAAACAGGAUUAGAUACCCUGGUAGUCCACACCGUAAACGACGAAUAAAGGGGUGUGGGAAGGAUUGACCCCUUCAGUCCCGCAGUUAACCCAAUAAGUAAUCCCACCUGGGGAGUACGCCGCAAGGGUGAAACUCAAAGGAAUGGCGGGGGCCCGCACAAGCAGUGGAGUAUGUGGUUUAAUUCGACGCAACGCGAAGAACCUUACCAAGUCUUGACAUCCUGCGACGAUGCUGGAAACAGUAUUUUCCUUCGGGACGCAGAGACAGGUGGUGCAUGGUUGUCGUCAGCUCGUGUCGUGAGAUGUUGGGUUAAGUCCCGCAACGAGCGCAACCCUUACUGUCAGUUACUACGCAAGAGGACUCUGGCAGGACUGCCGUUGACAAAACGGAGGAAGGUGGGGAUGACGUCAAAUCAUCAUGCCCUUUAUGACUUGGGCUACACACGUACUACAAUGGCGUUAAACAAAGAGAAGCAAGACCGCGAGGUGGAGCAAAACUCAGAAACAACGUCCCAGUUCGGACUGCAGGCUGCAACUCGCCUGCACGAAGUCGGAAUUGCUAGUAAUCGUGGAUCAGCAUGCCACGGUGAAUACGUUCCCGGGCCUUGCACACACCGCCCCUC
rnacentral:rRNA from 1 species